GGGAAAAGCAGGCAGCAUUAGAGGAAGAACAGGCUCGAUUAAAAGCACUAAAGGAACAGCGUCUAAAAGAACUUGCAAAGAAACCGCAUACCUCUUUAACAACUGCAGCCUCUCCUGUGUCCACCUCAGCAGGGGGAAUAAUGACUGCACCAGCCAUCGACAUAUUUUCUACCCCUAGUUCUUCUAACAGCACAUCCAAGCUGCCAAAUGACCUGCUUGAUUUGCAGCAGCCAACCUUUCAUCCAUCUGUCCAUGCUAUGUCAGCUGCUCCUCAGGUAGCAAGUACAUGGGGAGGAUUCAGUCCUUCUCCGGUUACACAGCCACAUCCUUCAGCUGGCCUUAAUGUUGACUUUGAAUCUGUGUUUGGAAAUAAGUCUACGAAUGUUGCUGUAGAUUCUGGUGGCUUUGAUGAACUAGGUGGACUUCUCAAACCAACAGUGGCCUCUCAGAACCAGAGUCUUCCUGUUGCCAAACUUGCGCCUAACAAAUUAGUGUCUGAUGACUUGGAUUCAUCUUUAGCCAACCUUGUGGGCAAUCUUGGCAUUGGAAAUGGAACCACUAAGAAUGAUGUAAGUUGGAGUCAACCAGGUGAAAAGAAGUUAACUGGAGGAUCUAACUGGCAACCAAAGGUUGCACCAACAACUGCCUGGAGUGCUGCAACAAUGAAUGGCAUGCAUUUUCCACAAUACGCACCCCCUGUAAUGGCCUAUCCUGCUACUACACCAACGGGCAUGAUAGGAUAUGGAAUUCCUCCUCAGAUGGGAAGUGUACCUGUAAUGACACAGCCAACCUUAAUAUACAGCCAGCCUGUCAUGAGACCGCCAAACCCCUUUGGCCCUGUACCAGGAGCACAGAUACAGUUUAUGUAACUAGAUGGAAGAGAAUGGAAUUACUCCAAGAAUAGAAGUGCACAGGUGGCGACUCCUUACUUCCAGCAAAAUCCAAACUGCUGUCUCUGAGACUCUUCCUCCAUUAGAGCUCUCCAGUAACCCAUGAUGGCCCACGACGGGAUGGGACUAGUUUAUAGGAGAGCGUUGUCAAUACCAUUUAUAAAGCCAAGAAUUGCCAUGAUUUAAGACUAAGAUCUGUCUUUUUGGUGACUAACACUUCAAUUCUUUCAACUCCUAUUAAUACCCAUAAUCAGUAACCUACCAAGAAAAGCCCGUAUUUGGAAAGUGUGGAGUUUGUGUUGGAAAAGCUGCCUGGAGAGAAGAGUUGUGUCCUUUACCAUAUUCAACAGGACUCAUUGGGGGAUCAAAAUCAUA
rnacentral:lncRNA from 1 species